ensembl:lncRNA
UUUGUUACACAGAGUGAAAGAUAUCUUUGGUUUUGCCUUUGCUGACUGCUGAUCUGAUCGUCUCAAGUCUGGUGACCUGCUGCAGAAAACCCUCUCCCUCUAUCAUUAACAAGCAAUUCAGUCUGUCCUAUCACUCUCCCUCUCCCUGCUCCAUCUUUUUUGACAAGCCAUUCUAUCUUCUAUCAUUUCUCCGCCAUGAGCUCUAUCUAAUUUGACAAGCUUGAACCUGAGUUGAAAAGCAAAACAAGUUUGCCUGAAACCAAGUUUGCCUGAAACCAAGUUUGCCUGAAACCAAGUUUGAGAAGAAACCAAGUUUGAGAAGAAACCAAGUUUGAGAAGAAACCAAGUUUGAGAAGAAACCAAGUUUUUGGAAUUGAAGUUACCACAACUUCAUCGAUCUGUUUUCAGAAUUCGGAGAGAUCUCCGCUCUCACGGCUCCUUCUUUCCUGUCAUUAAACUUUCAUAUCCACUCAUUUUGCUGGAAAGUACAAGUAAAAAGUGGAAUAUACAGUAGUAGAAUUACAGUACAGUAGAACUCACUGUAGAAACUACUUGCAGAGCCCUACAUUU